AGAGUUUGAUCCUGGCUCAGGAUGAACGCUAGCUACAGGCUUAACACAUGCAAGUCGAGGGGCAGCAUGGAAGAAGCUUGCUUCUUCUGAUGGCGACCGGCGCACGGGUGCGUAACGCGUAUCAAACCUGCCUCAUACUCGGGGAUAGCCUUGCGAAAGUAAGAUUAAUACCCGAUGUUGUUGCUUUCUCGCAUGGGAGAGUAACCAAAGAUUUAUCGGUAUGAGAUGGUGAUGCGUCCGAUUAGGUAGUAGGCGGGGUAACGGCCCACCUAGCCUUCGAUCGGUAGGGGUUCUGAGAGGAAGGUCCCCCACACUGGAACUGAGACACGGUCCAGACUCCUACGGGAGGCAGCAGUGAGGAAUAUUGGUCAAUGGGCGAGAGCCUGAACCAGCCAAGUAGCGUGCAGGAUGACGGCCCUAUGGGUUGUAAACUGCUUUUAUGUGGGGAUAAAGUGAGCUACGUGUAGUUUAUUGCAGGUACCACAUGAAUAAGGACCGGCUAAUUCCGUGCCAGCAGCCGCGGUAAUACGGAAGGUCCAGGCGUUAUCCGGAUUUAUUGGGUUUAAAGGGAGCGUAGGCGGAUUGUUAAGUCAGCGGUUAAAGGGUGUGGCUCAACCAUGCAUUGCCGUUGAAACUGGCGAUCUUGAGUGCAGACAGGGAUGCCGGAAUUCGUGGUGUAGCGGUGAAAUGCUUAGAUAUCACGAAGAACUCCGAUCGCGAAGGCAGGUGUCCGGGCUGCAACUGACGCUGAGGCUCGAAAGUGUGGGUAUCAAACAGGAUUAGAUACCCUGGUAGUCCACACAGUAAACGAUGUAUACUCGCGGUUUGCGAUAGAUUGUAAGCCGCCAAGCGAAAGCAUUAAGUAUACCACCUGGGGAGUACGCCGGCAACGGUGAAACUCAAAGGAAUUGACGGGGGCCCG
rnacentral:rRNA from 1 species